GACGAACGCUGGCGGCGUGCUUAACACAUGCAAGUCGAACGGUGACCCAGGGCUUGCCCUGGUGAUCAGUGGCGAACGGGUGAGUAACACGUGGGCAACCUGCCCCUGACUUCGGGAUAACUCCUCGAAGAGGAGCUAAUACCGGAUACGACCACUUCGGACAUCCGAUGGUGGUGGAAAGUUCUUCGGUCAGGGAUGGGCCCGCGGCCUAUCAGCUAGUUGGUGGGGUAAUGGCCUACCAAGGCGACGACGGGUAGCCGGCCUGAGAGGGCGACCGGCCACACUGGGACUGAGACACGGCCCAGACUCCUACGGGAGGCAGCAGUGGGGAAUAUUGCGCAAUGGGCGAAAGCCUGACGCAGCGACGCCGCGUGAGGGAUGAAGGCCUUCGGUUGUAAACCUACUUUCAGCAGGGACGAAGCGAAAGUGACGGUACCUGCAGAAGAAGACACCGGCGUAACUACGUGCCAGCAGCCGC
rnacentral:rRNA from 1 species